rnacentral:snRNA from 1 species
GUGCCCUCUUCAGCAGCACAUAUACUAAAAUUUGAACAAUACAGAGAAGAUUAGCCUGGCCCCUGCCCAAGGAUGACAUACAAAUUCAUGAAGCGUUCCAUAUUUUU